GACGAACGCUGGCGGCGUGCUUAACACAUGCAAGUCGAACGGAAAGGCCCUGCUUUUGUGGGGUGCUCGAGUGGCGAACGGGUGAGUAACACGUGAGUAACCUGCCCUUGACUUUGGGAUAACUUCAGGAAACUGGGGCUAAUACCGGCUAGGAGCUCCUGCUGCAUGGUGGGGGUUGGAAAGUUUCGGCGGUUGGGGAUGGACUCGCGGCUUAUCAGCUUGUUGGUGGGGUAGUGGCUUACCAAGGCUUUGACGGGUAGCCGGCCUGGGAGGGUGACCGGCCACAUGGGGACUGAGGUACGGCCCAGACUGCUACGGGAGGCAGCAGUGGGGAAUAUCGCACAAUGGGCGGAAGCCUGAUGCAGCAACGCCGCGUGCGGGAUGACGGCCUUCGGGUUGUAAACCGCUUUCGCCUGUGACGAAGCGUGAGUGACGGUAAUGGGUAAAGAAGCACCGGCUAACUACGUG
rnacentral:rRNA from 1 species